rnacentral:rRNA from 1 species
UACAGAGGGGGCAAGCGUUGUUCGGAAUUACUGGGCGUAAGGGGCGCGAAGGCGGCCUGCUAAGUCGAACGUGAAAUCCCCGGGCUCAACCCGGGAACUGCGUCCGAUACUGGCAGGCUUGAAUCCGGGAGAGGGAUGCGGAAUUCCAGGUGUAGCGGUGAAAUGCGUAGAUAUCUGGAGGAACACCGGUGGCGAAGGCGGUUCUCUGGGCCUUACCUGACGCUGAGGAGCGAAAGCGUGGGGAGCGAACAGG